AUUGAACGUUGGCGGCAGGCUUUAGACAUGCAAGUCGAACGAGAAAGUGCCUUCGGGCAUGAGUACAGUGGCGAACGGGUGAGUAACGCGUAGGAAUCUACCUUCCGGUGGGGGACAACUCGGGGAAACGUCGAGCUAAUACCGCAUAAUAUCCACGGAUCAAAGCGGGGGAUCUUCGGACCUCGCGCCGGGAGAGGAGCCUGCGUUAGAUUAGCUAGUUGGUGGGGUAAAGGCCUACCAAGGCGACGAUCUAUAGCUGGUCUGAGAGGACGAUCAGCCACACUGGAACUGAGACACGGUCCAGACUCCUACGGGAGGCAGCAGUCGGGAAUUUUGGGCAAUGGGCGCAAGCCUGACCCAGCCAUGCCGCGUGUGUGAAGAAGGCCUUCGGUUGUAAGACGACUUCUAGUCGUAAGAAAAGACUACU
rnacentral:rRNA from 1 species